AGGAAAAACUGGUCGUAAAGCUGAAGUUGGACAAAGCGGUAAGUUUAAACAAAGACGCGGAGAACGCCGGCUUGAGGUAUGCUGACGUGAUUGACGUAUGCUGACGUGAUUGAGGUAUGCUGAUGUGAUUGAGGUAUGCUGACGUCAUUGAGGAUGCAUAUUCAAGUUCGAUAGAACGUAUCAGAUCUCUUCCGCUCCCAAAAUGUGACCUAUCUUAUGACGUCACGAACCUGAGAUUAUUUGUCACAGCCAGAAAGUUCCCGGGCACCCAAGAAUAUUUGAAGGAAAGAUUUAGUAGAGAUGAACAAACGUAUUUUCUUCUCGCAAGAAAAGUUUACGGUCAAUACAACAGCUCGUCUAACUGAAAAGCGAACACUUGAACAGGACAAGGAAACAGAGCGAAAAGUGCUUGUGUUCUAGAAAUAGAAAUAUUCAAAAGCAUCAGAAGUCACAGAAGGCUGGUCUUACCUAACGGAAGUUGGAGAAUCAUUGUAUUCGGGCUCCGAAAUCUGAGACGCCCAGAAAGUUGUUUUGAUAUUGGAAUUACUGACUUCGACAAUGACAAAAGCAGAUAUUUUAAAGACAGCAAGAUUACUACAUUAACUCUAUGUGAUAAGGCGCAUUGUACAAUUUACAGAGUAUGGUUGCCGUACUACUUUUGUUAAUGAUUACGCUAUCCCUAGUACUCAGUACUAGUAGGACAGUGGUUAGCUUACAAGUUCAUUGCAUACUGGGAGCAACCGCACUUGGAUAAAAG